rnacentral:rRNA from 1 species
CCUAAUAGAACCCCAAAAACGAAAGUUACUCUAAUUAACCUCUUGAAUACACGACAGUUUGGGCACAAACUGGGAUUAGAUACCCCACUAUGCCAAACCGUAAAUUUGAACUACACUUAAAACGCCAGGGUACUACGAGCCAAGCUUAAAACCCAAAGGAUUUGACGGUGUUCCACCCAUCUAGAGGAGCCUGUUCUAUAAUCGAUGAUCCACGAUAUACCUAACCAUUUUUUGCUAUUCAGCCUGUAUACCUCCGUCGUAAGCUUACCGCUUGAGUGAGGAAAAGUAAGCAAAAGGACCUAAAGCCAAAACGUCAGGUCAAGGUGCAGCUUAUAAAAUGGAAGAAAUGAGCUACAAUUUCUAAUUUAGAAUACACGAAUUACUGCAUGAAACAAAGUCAUGAAGGUGGAUUUAGCAGUAAGUGAGGAAUAGAGAGCCUCACUUAAUUCGGCCCUGGAACGCGUACAAACCGCCCGUCACCCUCUUCGAUAGCUUCAUUAAUAGUUAAAUAACCUAUUUACCGCGUUUUAGAAGAGGCAAGUCGUAACAUGGUAAGCAUACUGGAAAGUGUUCUUGGAAUAA